UACGUAGGGGGCAAGCGUUGUCCGGAAUCAUUGGGCGUAAAGAGCGUGUAGGCGGCCAGAUAAGUCCGCUGUGAAAUCUCGAGGCUCAACUUCGAGCUGUCGGUGGAAAUGGUCUGGCUAGAGUCCGGAAGAGGAGAAUGGAAUUCCUGGUGUAGCGGUGAAAUGCGCAGAUAUCAGGAAGAACACCCGUGGCGAAGGCGGUUCUCUGGGACGGUACUGACGCUGAGACGCGAAAGCGUGGGGAGCGAACAGG
rnacentral:rRNA from 1 species